rnacentral:misc_RNA from 1 species
AAAAAAAAAGUCUUUCACGAAACAGAUCCAAAAGCUGAUGCCACUGUCCCUUCACACCCACCGCCUCGGGCCUUCCAAAACUCCCUGCCGCCAAUGCAGAUCUCCUCGCCAGCCUGAGGCGACCCCAACACAUCAACUUCGGCCACCAUAUGAAGAUCAGAGGCAAAGAUCCAUUCAGGUCAAAACUGGACCCGAAUCUCCACUCGCCGGAAUUUCACAAUUUCCAGCCAUCUGACCCUCCAUAACUCUUAAUCUACUUCUGCUUCCACCACGUCAGCUUACGUCACUGCCACUCAACGUCACAUCAUCAGAAGGUGCCAUGUUGUCACCGCCACAUCAUCAACACAACAGCUGUCUGUGCCAUGCCAUCACUACUACAUCAUAACUGCCACAUCAACAAAAU